GCUACCAUGCAGUCGAGCGGGCAUAUCGAUAUGUCUGCGGCACACGGGUGAGUAACGCGUGGGAACGUACCUUUUGGUUCAGAACAACACAGGGAAACUUGUGCUAAUACCGGAUAACCCCUUACGGGGAAAUAUUUAUCGCCGAAAGAUCCGCCCGCGUCUGAUUAGCUAGUUGGUGAGGUAAUGGCUCACCAAGGCGACGAUCAGUAGCUGGUCUGAGAGGAUGAUCAGCCACAUUGGGACUGACACACGGCCCAAACUCCUACGGGAGGCAGCAGUGGGGAAUAUUGGACAAUGGGCGCAAGCCUGAUCCACCCAUGCCGCGUGAGUGAUGAAGGCCCUAGGGUUGUAAAGCUCUUUUGUGCGGGAAGAUAAUGACGGUACCGCAAGAAUAAGCCCCGGCUAACUUCGUGCCCGCAGCCGCGGUAAUACGAAGGGGGCUAGCGUUGCUCAGAAUCACUGGGCGUAAAGGGAGCCUACG
rnacentral:rRNA from 1 species